rnacentral:rRNA from 1 species
GAGUUUGAUCCUGGCUCAGAUUGAACGCUGGCGGCAUGCCUUACACAUGCAAGUCGAACGGCAGCGCGGGAGCAAUCCUGGCGGCGAGUGGCGAACGGGUGAGUAAUACAUCGGAACGUGCCCAAUCGUGGGGGAUAACGCAGCGAAAGCUGUGCUAAUACCGCAUACGAUCUACGGAUGAAAGCAGGGGAUCGCAAGACCUUGCGCGAAUGGAGCGGCCGAUGGCAGAUUAGGUAGUUGGUGGGGUAAGGGCUCACCAAGCCAACGAUCUGUAGCUGGUCUGAGAGGACGACCAGCCACACUGGGACUGAGACACGGCCCAGACUCCUACGGGAGGCAGCAGUGGGGAAUUUUGGACAAUGGGCGCAAGCCUGAUCCAGCCAUGCCGCGUGCAGGAUGAAGGCCUUCGGGUUGUAAACUGCUUUUGUUACGGAACGAAAGUACUCUUUCUAAUUAAAGAGGG